rnacentral:rRNA from 1 species
AACGAACGCUGGCGGCAUGCCUAACACAUGCAAGUCGAACGGGAUCCUAGCUUGCUAGGUGAGAGUGGCGGACGGGUGAGUAACACGUGGGAAUCUGCCUUUUGGUUCGGGAUAACCGCGGGAAACUGCGGCUAAUACCGAAUGCCCUCGAGAGAGGAAAGAUUUAUCGCCAGAAGAGGAGCCCGCGUCCGAUUAGGUAGUUGGUGGGGUAAAGGCCUACCAAGCCGACGAUCGGUAGCUGGUCUGAGAGGAUGAUCAGCCACACUGGGACUGAGAUACGGCCCAGACUCCUACGGGAGGCAGCAGUGGGGGAAUAUUGGGACAAAUGGGUGUAAGCCUGAUCCAGCCAUGCCGCGUGCAGGAAGAAGGCCUUCUGGGUUGUAAACUGCUUUUGCCGGGGGAUAAAAGAUCCAUGCGUGGAGAAUUGAAGGUACCCGGUGAAUAAGCCACGGCUAACUACGUGCCAGCAGCCGCGGUAAU